rnacentral:rRNA from 1 species
AUGUCCCAUCUUUUUCUCCCCCAUCUCCUUGUCAAGCAGAGAACUACUACCACGCAGCACACUCCCUCAACAUCUGCCGCUGUUUCUAAGGCCCCCCGCAGCUUGAUCCAGAUCGGUAUCGAGGCCACCACUGAGCCGCCUCCCCUCCUCCGUCCUCCACGCGCGCGCGCUCAGCGCCCGAUCCACCCCUUCCCCGUCCUCGCACACCCGCCGCCACCUCCUCCCUCGAUCCAGUCCUCUCCCCGGCCUUCUUUCCCUGAUCCAGUCCUUUACCCGCCGAUCCCACCCACCGCCGAUCUCGCAGCCCUCCUCACCACCGCCGCCGACCUCGUCCCUCCCUUCCCUCACCAUCUCUCCCUACCCUAUGCCCCAGAUCGAGUCGAGCAGGUCGACCGACGCGCUAGGGUUCCGUUUGGUCAGCUCCGCGCCGGCUCUCCGGUUGGCCGCCCGCCCGACGAUGGAUCUCCCGCCGCUCUCCCACCAGGCGCUCUUCAUGGCCGUCCCAGCGCUCCAUCUGGUGGGUCCGAGCGCUCCAUCCUUGAAAGGGAUGAUGGGGAUGACUACAUCCUCGACAGGGGCGACUACAUCCGCCAGGUCGUUCGCCAGGGCAGCGCGGCGGCGGUGUUGGCCAAGACGGGGGCGGCACCGGUGGAGCGCGUCAAGCUGCUGCUGCAGAACCAGGCUGAGAUGCUGCGCUGGGGCACCCUCACGCGGCCCUUCCGCAUGAUCACCGAUGCCUUCGCCCGCGUCCUCCCGCUUGCCGUCGCCAAGAUCCUCCGCGCCCUCGCGCUCCAGGAGACCCCCGACCUCCUCAUCCUCGGCAAGCAAGUUCUCAAAUCGGCCUCGAUUCACGCGUGCAGAGUGCUCCCUCCAGGUGAAGUUGCCCACCGCAGCGCCAAGGGAUUCGUCUCCGAGGACGAGUUCCUCUCCAUCCCGGAGUUCUCCACCAACCCGCUCUCCCAGAACCUGUACGCAAUCGAUCGGCAUAGGGAGUUUUACCACGGUUGA